AACCGGUGAAAUGAUGGGAAGCUGUUAACAACAACACAAUUUGUGAAUAUCUCUAAAACAAAAUCCGUUUGUCUUAAAUCAAACAAAAUUAAAAAAAGAACGUAAUCAAGACCUACUUGUUGUAAUGCAAUUAGAGAGAGAGCGUUACUAGGCAGUGCAGUCUAUGCUUUAACCCUUUCAAGACCAUUGAUUACCUGUGUACUCAGUCAAUGUUCU